rnacentral:lncRNA from 1 species
UAAGAACUUCAUAAUUUUUAUUUCUAAACAUCGGGGAGUUGCAACUAAUAUUUAUAGAGUAUUGGAGGUAUCGAACCAAUACAACUGAUACUAACCAAAAUCUGCCUGAUAAAAGAAAAAAAGACACAUCAGAGACAACAAUUAUCUUAGAUCUCAACGACAUUGUAGACAAUAGGCCAGCUUUUGGACGAUCCCUUCCUACAUCCUUAAUACUAUGUACCCAAGAACUUUGUUUCUCUCUCACAAUUCUGGUCCACAUUCUCAUGGCCUCUUCUUCCAUUCUGUGCACUAAAGGCGCUUCAAUUCCUCAGUUCAUUACAAGUACUAAACCGAAACUACGUCAAACCAGUAAUGUCUCGUACGGUUUCAGUUCGACUUCAAGACUUCCUUCGUCUUCAUCGGUAUCUCCUUCCACACGUCCAUCCUUAUGUAGAUAUAAAUUCUAGCAUAUAACAAAUGAUCUCAAAUUAAUUUUGAUCAAAGUAUGAUCGUCGUAGUGCAAAAUGAAAAAUGUUUGGUUGUGCUUAUUUUUGCAUUAUUCAAGAUCACACGAAACGACAUUAAAAUUUUACCACUUGUACAUGCUUAGUUGUGAGCUAUAUCAAAUAGAUUUGUGUUUGGAUGAUGAUACAUUGAUUGAUCAGGAUGAUCGG